AUACGAAAGGUGCAAGCGUUGUUCGGAUUUACUGGGCGUAAAGAGAGUGUAGGUGGUUUAUCAAGUCGGAUGUGAAAUCCCGGGGCUCAACCUCGGAACUGCAUUCGAUACUGAUAGGCUAGAGUUUGGGAGGGGUAAGCGGAAUUCCGUGUGUAGCAGUGAAAUGCGUAGAUAUACGGGGGAACACCUGAGGCGAAGGCGGCUUACUGGACCAAUACUGACACUGAGACUCGAAAGCGUGGGUAGCAAACAGGAUUAGAAACCCUAGUAGUCC
rnacentral:rRNA from 1 species